UGUGGGAAGAAGGCCUUCGGGUUGUAAACCACUGUCGGGAGUUAAGAAAUGCAAGAAUGUUAAUAGCGUUUUUGCUUGACUAAGGCUCCGGAGGAAGCCACGGCUAACUCUGUGCCAGCAGCCGCGGUAAUACAGAGGCGGCAAGCGUUGUUCGGAAUUAUUGGGCGUAAAGAGCACGUAGGCGGCUAUAUAAGUCGGUUGUGAAAGCCUUCCGCUCAACGGGAGAACAGCAUCCGAUACUGUAUGGCUUGAGUGUGGGAGGGGAGAGCGGAACUUCUGGUGGAGCGGUGAAAUGCGUAGAUAUCAGAAGGAACGCCGGCGGCGAAAGCGGCUCUCUGGCCCAUAACUGACGCUGAGUGUGCGAAAGCUAGGGGAGCAAACGGGAUUAGAUACCCCGGUAGUCCUAGCCGUAAACGAUGGGCACUAAGUAGAGGGGUUUU
rnacentral:rRNA from 1 species